UGACGACGCAGGGGACGUGCGACCUCUAGGGACGUCGGCCAAGAGCCAACUGAAGUGGAUCUGCCGGCCCAGCCCGUAUUUGUUUGGUGGACAUCACCCACCACAAGACAUGAUGACCCCGCAGUUUGUUGCUGUGCUGUCAGAAUUUCAUGACCUCGACAAAAGGCCCAAGAUCUGCGUCGUCUUCUACAAACAGCCCGGCCUCUGCGAAGAAUUCGCCAACAUGGAGAAAAGAGGCAGAGUGAUCACGGGCAGCGCCAGGAUCUUACCUGCAACGAGGACUCAUCUUUUAUAAAUACGCCCUCGUUAACACCUACAGCCAAGAGAGAGAGUGUGAAUUAGAGCCCAUUUCUUUAGAGAGCUCCAACAGCCCAGAGUCAUUGAAGUACAGAAACGCUCAAUUACAUCGUGUCGUGAAUAUACCCAAAACGGAGAUCAAA